rnacentral:rRNA from 2 species
GGGUUGUGAGGUUAAGCGACUAAGCGUACACGGUGGAUGCCCUGGCAGUCAGAGGCGAUGAAGGACGUGCUAAUCUGCGAUAAGCGUCGGUAAGGUGAUAUGAACCGUUAUAACCGGCGAUUUCCGAAUGGGGAAACCCAGUGUGUUUCGACACACUAUCAUUAACUGAAUCCAUAGGUUAAUGAGGCGAACCGGGGGAACUGAAACAUCUAAGUACCCCGAGGAAAAGAAAUCAACCGAGAUUCCCCCAGUAGCGGCGAGCGAACGGGGAGCAGCCCAGAGCCUGAAUCAGUGUGUGUGUUAGUGGAAGCGUCUGGAAAGGCGCGCGAUACAGGGUGACAGCCCCGUACACAAAAAUGCACAUGCUGUGAGCUCGAUGAGUAGGGCGGGACACGUGGUAUCCUGUCUGAAUAUGGGGGGACCAUCCUCCAAGGCUAAAUACUCCUGACUGACCGAUAGUGAACCAGUACCGUGAGGGAAAGGCGAAAAGAACCCCGGCGAGGGGAGUGAAAAAGAACCUGAAACCGUGUACGUACAAGCAGUGGGAGCACGCUUAGGCGUGUGACUGCGUACCUUUUGUAUAAUGGGUCAGCGACUUAUAUUCUGUAGCAAGGUUAACCGAAUAGGGGAGCCGAAGGGAAACCGAGUCUUAACUGGGCGUUAAGUUGCAGGGUAUAGACCCGAAACCCGGUGAUCUAGCCAUGGGCAGGUUGAAGGUUGGGUAACACUAACUGGAGGACCGAACCGACUAAUGUUGAAAAAUUAGCGGAUGACUUGUGGCUGGGGGUGAAAGGCCAAUCAAACCGGGAGAUAGCUGGUUCUCCCCGAAAGCUAUUUAGGUAGCGCCUCGUGAAUUCAUCUCCGGGGGUAGAGCACUGUUUCGGCAAGGGGGUCAUCCCGACUUACCAACCCGAUGCAAACUGCGAAUACCGGAGAAUGUUAUCACGGGAGACACACGGCGGGUGCUAACGUCCGUCGUGAAGAGGGAAACAACCCAGACCGCCAGCUAAGGUCCCAAAGUCAUGGUUAAGUGGGAAACGAUGUGGGAAGGCCCAGACAGCCAGGAUGUUGGCUUAGAAGCAGCCAUCAUUUAAAGAAAGCGUAAUAGCUCACUGGUCGAGUCGGCCUGCGCGGAAGAUGUAACGGGGCUAAACCAUGCACCGAAGCUGCGGCAGCGACGCUUAUGCGUUGUUGGGUAGGGGAGCGUUCUGUAAGCCUGCGAAGGUGUGCUGUGAGGCAUGCUGGAGGUAUCAGAAGUGCGAAUGCUGACAUAAGUAACGAUAAAGCGGGUGAAAAGCCCGCUCGCCGGAAGACCAAGGGUUCCUGUCCAACGUUAAUCGGGGCAGGGUGAGUCGACCCCUAAGGCGAGGCCGAAAGGCGUAGUCGAUGGGAAACAGGUUAAUAUUCCUGUACUUGGUGUUACUGCGAAGGGGGGACGGAGAAGGCUAUGUUGGCCGGGCGACGGUUGUCCCGGUUUAAGCGUGUAGGCUGGUUUUCCAGGCAAAUCCGGAAAAUCAAGGCUGAGGCGUGAUGACGAGGCACUACGGUGCUGAAGCAACAAAUGCCCUGCUUCCAGGAAAAGCCUCUAAGCAUCAGGUAACAUCAAAUCGUACCCCAAACCGACACAGGUGGUCAGGUAGAGAAUACCAAGGCGCUUGAGAGAACUCGGGUGAAGGAACUAGGCAAAAUGGUGCCGUAACUUCGGGAGAAGGCACGCUGAUAUGUAGGUGAAGUCCCUUGCGGAUGGAGCUGAAAUCAGUCGAAGAUACCAGCUGGCUGCAACUGUUUAUUAAAAACACAGCACUGUGCAAACACGAAAGUGGACGUAUACGGUGUGACGCCUGCCCGGUGCCGGAAGGUUAAUUGAUGGGGUUAGCGGUAACGCGAAGCUCUUGAUCGAAGCCCCGGUAAACGGCGGCCGUAACUAUAACGGUCCUAAGGUAGCGAAAUUCCUUGUCGGGUAAGUUCCGACCUGCACGAAUGGCGUAAUGAUGGCCAGGCUGUCUCCACCCGAGACUCAGUGAAAUUGAACUCGCUGUGAAGAUGCAGUGUACCCGCGGCAAGACGGAAAGACCCCGUGAACCUUUACUAUAGCUUGACACUGAACAUUGAGCCUUGAUGUGUAGGAUAGGUGGGAGGCUUUGAAGUGUGGACGCCAGUCUGCAUGGAGCCGACCUUGAAAUACCACCCUUUAAUGUUUGAUGUUCUAACGUUGACCCGUAAUCCGGGUUGCGGACAGUGUCUGGUGGGUAGUUUGACUGGGGCGGUCUCCUCCUAAAGAGUAACGGAGGAGCACGAAGGUUGGCUAAUCCUGGUCGGACAUCAGGAGGUUAGUGCAAUGGCAUAAGCCAGCUUGACUGCGAGCGUGACGGCGCGAGCAGGUGCGAAAGCAGGUCAUAGUGAUCCGGUGGUUCUGAAUGGAAGGGCCAUCGCUCAACGGAUAAAAGGUACUCCGGGGAUAACAGGCUGAUACCGCCCAAGAGUUCAUAUCGACGGCGGUGUUUGGCACCUCGAUGUCGGCUCAUCACAUCCUGGGGCUGAAGUAGGUCCCAAGGGUAUGGCUGUUCGCCAUUUAAAGUGGUACGCGAGCUGGGUUUAGAACGUCGUGAGACAGUUCGGUCCCUAUCUGCCGUGGGCGCUGGAGAACUGAGGGGGGCUGCUCCUAGUACGAGAGGACCGGAGUGGACGCAUCACUGGUGUUCGGGUUGUCAUGCCAAUGGCACUGCCCGGUAGCUAAAUGCGGAAGAGAUAAGUGCUGAAAGCAUCUAAGCACGAAACUUGCCCCGAGAUGAGUUCUCCCUGACUCCUUGAGAGUCCUGAAGGAACGUUGAAGACGACGACGUUGAUAGGCCGGGUGUGUAAGCGCAGCGAUGCGUUGAGCUAACCGGUACUAAUGAACCGUGAGGCUUAACCUUACAACGCCGAAGCUGUU